rnacentral:rRNA from 1 species
CCCUUAGAUGUCCGGGGCUGCACGCGCGCUACACUGAAGGAAUCAGCGUGCUAGAAAACCUUGUUUGACAUGGCUAGGUAACCCGUUGAAAAUCUUUCGUGAUUGGGAUCGGGACUUGCAAAUGUGUCCCUUGAACGAGGAAUUCCCAGUAAGUGCGGGUCAUAAGCUCGCGCUGAUUACGUCCCUGCCCUUUGUACACACCGCCCGUCGCUGCCCGGAACUGAGCCGUUUCGAGAAGGCUGGGGACUGCGAACUUUGGGCUGGAAAACAGCUUUUUGUUUGUGGAAACCACUUUAAUCGCAGCGGCUUGAACCGGGCAAAAGUCGUAACA